rnacentral:tRNA from 1 species
ACCCAGCUGGCUCAGUUGGUAGAGCAUACAACUCUUAAUCUUGGGGUUGUGAGUUCGAGCCCCAUGAUGGGUG